rnacentral:rRNA from 1 species
UACGUAGGUGGCAAGCGUUGUCCGGAUUUACUGGGCGUAAAGGGCGUGCAGGCGGUUUGUUAAGUCUAGGGUGAAAGCUCCCGGCUCAACUGGGAGAGGUCCUUGGAUACUGGCGAACUUGAGGGAUGCAGAGGAAAGUGGAAUUCCCGGUGUAGUGGUGAAAUGCGUAGAUAUCGGGAGGAACACCAGUGGCGAAGGCGGCCCCCUGGUUGGAUACUGACGCUGAUACGCGAAAGCGUGGGGAGCAAACAGG